AUGAGCAAACUGAGGUAAACAGGUUUAAGUGACUUGGCCAGGGACUCACAGCUAGUAAUUGGAUUUGAGCUCAUAUGAGCGCUCUAUCCAUUGGGCCACCUAGUUGGCCCAACACCUCAGGUAUUUGGUGACUAAAAUAAGACAGUACAUAAUUAAAUGAUAAAGUGGCUUGGGCAAGUGGCAUUUAGCUAGAAAUAUAUUUACAACUAGGUAGGAUGGGACUUUGACUAGGGCACAGACUUGGGGGGAGCAGGGUGUAGUCUAUUCCCAUAGAAUUGUGGAGACUACUGUCUCCAGGUCCAUAUCAAGCCGGUGAGCAGUGACCUUGUUCACUGCUGAACUGCCCUUCACUUCCCAGUCCAAGUGGCCCCAUCCCCUUCCCCAGGGCCCUCAGGCGGCCCUAAAGAAUUCCUUUUGAUGUCUCCCUACAAUAGGAUAAAAUGAUUAAGACUUUCUCUCCCAGAAUCUGAUCAUCCCAUUUAUGUAACUCCCUCCCCACUCUCUUUUCCCCUCGGCUCACUAAGUGCUAAAGUGGUUUUGAGCAAAAGCACUUAGCCAAUAGCAGAGUUAUAACUAGGGUGAGGAGAUGGAGCCUUGACUGGGGCACAGAUAUGGUGGGGGCAGGGUAUUUAUGUUUAUGUAGACUCAGUUUUAGGGACUUUACUUUCUUAUAUUCUUUCCACCUUCCUCCCCAAAGAUAUCCCAAUUUUUAUUCUCCAUUAUAGGAGCACUCAGCUUGGAACCCCAAAAGGAAGGCAGCAAAGCCAGAGUCCAUAUCAUGUCAGUGGAAAGUCAGUCUAAUUAGGGAGGCUCCCACGUGACUCAGGUGACAUUAUUUGAUGGAACAUAGAAUCUGACUGAAAGCCUAAGAGAAUAAAUUCUACAGUUGGUCAAAUAAUAAAAAGUGAUAUCCUUCAGUGAUACAGAAUCUUUCUUCACAGGAGUUUGAGGUCUCUAUAACCAUGAUCUCAUCCCUGUUCAUGGAAUACUCAGCAGGCCAGGUUGAAGAAGAAUAUUCUUGCUUGAACCAGGAGAUCAUUAUACACAGCAACAAGAAGAUACGAUGAUCAAUUCUGAUGGACGUGGCUCUCUUCAACAAUGAGAUGAUUCAAACCAGUUCCAAUUGUUCAGUGAUGAAGAGAGCUAUCUACACCCAGAGAGGAGACCGUGGGAACUCAGUGUUGUUCACAAUACAGCAUUUUCACUCAUUUUGUUGUUGUUUGCUUGCAUUUUAUUUUGCUUCUCUUUUUUUUCUUGUGAGCCACGA